rnacentral:misc_RNA from 1 species
GAUGAAGAACGUAGCGAAAUGCGAUAAGUAGUGUGAAUUGCAGAAUUCAGUGAAUCAUCGAGUCUUUGAACGCACAUUGCGCCCCCUGGUAUUCCGGGGGGCAUGCCUGUCCGAGCGUCAUUGCUGCCCUCAAGCACGGCUUGUGUGUUGGGCCUCCGUCCUCCUCCCGGGGGACGGGCCCGAAAGGCAGCGGCGGCACCGCGUCCGGUCCUCGAGCGUAUGGGGCUUCGUCACCCGCUCUUGUAGGCCCGGCCGGCGCUUGCCGACACAUCAAUCUUUUUUCCAGGUUGACCUCGGAUCAGGUAGGGAUACCCGCUGAACUUAAGCAUAUCAUAAGCGGAGGA